rnacentral:rRNA from 1 species
AAGUCGUAACGCCGUACCGGAAGGGCUGGAUCACCUCCU